GAGUUUGAUCGUGGCUCAGGAUGAACGCUGGCGGCGUGCCUAACACAUGCAAGUCGAGCGAAGCAUACAGGAGGAAGUUUUCGGAUGGAAUCCUGCAUGGCUGAGCGGCGGACGGGUGAGUAACGCGUGGGUAACCCUGCCUUAUACAGGGGAUAACAGUUAGAAAUGACUGCUAAUACCGCAUAAGCGCACAGUACCGCAUGGUAGUGUGUGAAAAACUCCGGUGGUAUAAGAUGGACCCGCGUCUGACUAGCCAGUUGGCGAGGUAACGGCUCACCAAGGCGACGAUCAGUAGCUGGUCUGAGAGGAUGAUCCGCCA
rnacentral:rRNA from 1 species